CGCCCCUCUGACAUCUGCCUUACUGGAGGUAUGUGAUGUAACAACAGCACUGUGCCGGUCUGCCACCGCCCCGCAUAGUGCCCCGCAUACCGCCCCGCACGUGGCCCCGCACCCGCACCCACAGCCGCCCCUCUGACAUCUGCCUUACUGGAGGUCCCUCCGUUUUGCGGUGCUCCUGCCAGUAUCGAUGUGCUUCAUGAGCACAAUACUGACUAUAUUGAUACUUUUCCACGUUUACACUUAAACACUGCUCACUAGAAUAGUUGUCGUUGCACUAAUUAAAUAAAUACUAUGUAAUACACGGUUCGGGUAGGAGGCUGGUGUCGAAAAUGGCGUAUUUACAUCUGAAAAUCUUUAGUAAAGAUGGAUUUUGGUUGCGCAAGUUAGCGCAAGUAAGCGCAAUUUUUGCGCAAAAUUUAUUUUUGUCUUAAUUUUGGGGUAUUAGCUAGUGAUUAUGCGGGAAUUUCAAGUAGAUUAUUUUUUUAGAUUGCGCAAGUAUUCUGCAAAAGAUCUGAAAAAAUCUUCUGUGUUCGUUAUGAUAAGUAUGUCUUGGUAUUAAAACACGGUAACUUUUGGUAUUUAUUCAGCCUUUCGAUUAUGGGUAGCUUAUGUACUUGUGUUUUGCUAAUUUUCAUGUCUGUAUCUUUUAAUUCUAAGCACAUAAUAUAAUUUCAUUUAUCUGUGUAAUCAAUUAUUUAAGUUUAAUCUGUAUAUUAAAAUGUAAAAGACUUCUUUUUAGAUGUAAGUUGUCAGUUUGUAAGCAAAUUAUGUAUGUGUAUAUUAGUUUAAUAAGUAAGCAUUUAUUUUUUUACUUGCAUAUAAUAACGCCAGCCUCACAGUAUGGUCACUAAGCGCGGAGCGAUAUUCGACCUUAUUAAACAUAGUUUUUAGUCUAUUUUUCAUUGAAUAUAUAAAUAAAUUGAGUUGCGCGGAUAAGGCAAGCGAAUUUGAGCUCAAUCUAUUAACGCUAAGGUCUCGUUUUAAACGCUUUUGAAUACACUAAAGUGUCGGUUUGUUGAGGAAUACAUUUUACUUUUCAUCGCUAAGUUAGAAAUUUUAAAAAUUUCAACGUCUUAACUUUCUUAUAUCUUCAGCUAAUAUAUCAUAUAAUAAUUUUCAAGCUAUCUUAAUACCCUGUUGCUCUUGUUAUUCUUAUUUUAAUCUUACUUUUUUCUUCAUAAAGAUAUAUUAUUUUAGUCCUUAACACAAAGGCGUAAAGUUUAAAAUAGCAUGUUAAAAGUGAGUGCAGUUUGGAGGUAGUGUAGCUUGGUGCUUGUAGAGGUUCAUGUUAGGGUCUUUAGGAACGAAUUUUAAAGAAUGGUAUCACCAUUUUCUGCCGGGGUUGCCAGUUGAGAGUAUUUUUCUACGUUGGGGUUGCUGUAUUAAAAAAAGCACGAUUGAGUGUGUGUGUUUUUGUCUUCUGCUAUGUGGCUUCUAAAAGGUAUUUUAAGUAAUAUUUGAGAGAGAUUUACUAUAGUGCCAUCAUGCGUUUUUGCUGAUAAUCUGAGCCCUGAGCUAAAAAUUAUUCAGAAAAUGUCUUAGCUCUGGUUUUAUCUUGCAAAAUUAAUUUAAUUACAUAACAGCACUAGAAUAGACUAAUCAAAAUAAAAAUAAAGUAAGAUUUUGUUUCAUAUCUUUCUGUUUCAAAAACAAUGCAAAGGUUUUCUUAAUUAUUAAUCUAAUUAAAAUCUGGCAAUCCUUCUAACUGGGCAACAUUUUAAAAUCAAAACUAUUAAAUUUUGUUAUGUCAUCGAUAUAUUUUUGUACACUUUACUAGUUACAUCACUAUUCCUACUUUAGUAAGUAAUUUAGGGAUUAAGGCGCCAUUUUAAAAAGCUUUAUUUUAAGAGUUUUUUUUAAGAUGAUGGUUGGAUUUGAUUUUGCUGUAGAAACUUUACAAAAAAUGUUAUAAAGAGUCAAAUAAUAUUGAGCUUGUCCAAAAAAUACAUUAUUAAAGCUGAUUUCUAUUAGUGUCUACUUCUUUGGAUUACAAAAGUGAGUAUUGUUAUAUUUAAAACUGUAUUCAGAUUCCCCAAUCCCUUUAAGAACAAAGAAAUAUUUGAGACUUUCAGAGAGCACCCUUUGACAUUAACGAUAGGUAACCCAACCAUUUUCAAGUGACCAAUGGGUGGCAAUUUUCCGGCUGGUCAAGGUUUGGUUAUAGGUAGUUAUAAUCAAAUGGUACACUCACCCCUAAGUUUCAAGUAUAUUUUACACAGAGAUGGUAAUUCUGAGUAUACUUAUUAAAUCCAACAAGAAUUACUUGGAAUCCAUAAAAGUUCUACAGCAAAAUCAUAUCCAAAGGUUGAAGUAAUUAGUUGUACGGGCAUUGCUUCAAAGAGUUCGAUAGGCGUAGUCUGUGAUAGGUACAUAAUCAGAACUGUGAUCAGUACGGUCAAACCACGCGAAACCAAAGAUUUUUCUGUGCGGUCGGCAAAAUUAACUUAAAUGAAUAUGAUAUUUUUUAAUUUUAUUUCAAAGGUUUUCUGUGGUUACACUCAAUUUCAAAGUGCGAAAGCUUCAUCGACAACAUAAAGGUCAGUUUUCUUAAAACAACUGUUAACUAUGAAUUUUCAGAGUUGUUUUAAGAAAAACGAACGUUUAUGUUGUCGGUGAACUUGAGCCUAAAGCUUUGGUUUCCUAGGAAAGCGGUGCCGUCAUAUAGCGACCGUAAUACAGCGGUGAAAGACAUCACCAGAACGUUGUCUAUGUAAACAAAAAGGGGCGGUUUCCUAGAGAGCGGUAACUGACGCCGUAACUUCAAAAAGCGGUGCCGCCAUUUGCGUGACGGCCGUCUUGACGGUGUCAGAUAGUUUGGUGAACGUUUUAUUGAAAGCGGUGAAGCUUUUUUAAUACGUAUUUGUGUUUUUUUUUUUCGGAACAACGUCAAAAAUUUGUUACAACUCUUGGAGCAGCAAGGACGACGAAAUUUUAAUAGAUUUCGUUCGAAACCACGAAGGCAAUAUCUAACAUAAAAAGUAAAGAUUAUAGAAAAGUCAACUAAAACAGAAUUGGUGUUGUGAAAUUUGAGAAAUAUUAAAUAAAACAGGUUAGUAAGUAUGAUACAACUAACAAAAGUUUAUGACGGUGUGUUAAAACGGCCGUGGAACUUUCCACAUGUAAUCACCGUAAAGACGACCGUCUAUUUGCGUCCGUAAUAAGACGGCCGCUAUAUGACGGCACCGCUUUCCUAGGAAACCCAAGCUUAAGGGAUCGAUAAAACUGUAUUUUGCGACAUAGUUGAAAGAUCUUAUCAUAUCCUGUGCACCAAGUGCAAAUAUAUUGCCUUGCUUCUUUAAAUUACCUAUUUCAAUAUAUUUUUUUAAUUAUAGGUACAAGUUUUUUUUUGCCGACCGAACACUAAUAAGUGAUGUGUGUUGAGAGAUUUAUUCGAUUGUUGAGUGUAGUGGGUACGUAAUAUAGUUUGCGUGAGUGAUAUGCCUAAGCGCAGCCCUGAAGGAUAAUGUUUUUGAUUCAGCCAAUGGCGUGACGCCUAAGGCUUAUGUGACCUCUUUAUAUCCUUUAAAAGGUUAAAGUCACAUUAUUAAUGGCUGUAUUGCCAUUUAAAAUUCAGUAAUGCUAUUGAAGAAAAUUAAAUAAUCGCUUGAAAUGUGAUGUUAUUAAUUCUAAAGUUCGCUGGAGAGAAAUUAACAGCAAAAGUGUGAAUUGACUUGCUCUUUAUGUAAAAUAUACAACUGUUCUUCAGACUUCAAGAAACCUUGUUAUUUCUUAAAUACCUUAAAAUGUGGCUAGACUAGCAAAAUGUUUGCCUAUGAGUAACAAUAGUCAAUUAAACAUAUUUGUGAACAUCGUAAUAAAUAUGAUAUUAAUCUAUAAGUUACUUGCUACUUAACGGCAUUCAUUUUGCUAGUUGAGCUUAUUUCCCUUACAUAAGCAUAUGUAUGCUCAUAUUUCCUAAAACCAAAUUCACGCACAAUGUUCCCAAAUACCAAUUUCUUUAAGCCUUAACUAAGCGUAUUGUGCGAACGAUUUUAAACCUUAAGUGGAUGUUUGAAGAACUAAAUUGGAUUACGGCUUUGGUGGUAGUUCGGACUUUAUUUGACACGUCUUGUAGAUUUAAAAUUUUGUAAUAUUAAGGCCCUGUUUUACUGGUUACCGAUAAAGUGUCAGUUAGUUCCAAUAGUUAACACUAUCUGCCAGAUAAAUGCUGCUUAUAAUUUCUGUCAGUACCUAUCCGAGGCGAAAGCAAAAGUUAUAGGUUAUCUGUCACAUAACCUGGUUCCUGAUACGCUAUCAGAGACUUUAUCAGUAAUCUGUGAAACUGGCCAUAAAAGUGUUGGAUUUGUUUUAGGGAGCUUGAAAUUAACAAUUUGCUCAUUAUGUGUGACCUUUUAAAUCUAGCUUUCCAAGUGAUCUCAUAUUCGACCAUCAUUACACUUCAGGCCACAAAAACAUACCCAGUAUUCUUAAAUUGCUACAUCAAUACUGUACUUAAAACAAAUCCAAUAUACGUACUUGUAGUUUAAAUAAUCUCCUAAGAAUUUGAAGUACAAAAUGUCAUCGUCACUUUCCACUACAUACAGGUUAUUCUUAUCUAUAACUUUCACUAUAUUUAAUAGUCAUAAUGAUAUCAUUUUACCGAGCACGCCGUAACUCCAUGACAUGUAAAGCUACCCGUAUUGUCUUAUAUUGUGCACUUUCUUGCAAAGAAAAGGAUUUAAUUAUGUAUUAUCAUGACCAAGUUUACCGAUAAAAUACACGUUAGUUUUCUUAAAACAACUGUUUAAAAUGAAUUUUCACGUUUAAUUUUCAAAGUAAAUAUGUAAUUGUUUUAUGAGAAAUGGACGUUCGUGUUGGAAGGAAAUAUGGGCCUUAGAACGACUGACUCUACAGUUAUUCAUGUAUAAUUUACGAGUAAUCCGAGGUUUUUCAUGAAGAUGGUAUAAUAGUAAAAAUUACACUACCAGCAAGUUCAGUCAUUAUCUAAUUAUCGUUAGACCAAGUUAUAUAAUUUGUAACUGAAUAUCAAUUUUUUGCAAGCAAGUGUAUAAGAGCAACAAUCCUAAUGAAUAUUUAAUUAUUUACUAUGAUCUCAUACAUUACUGGGCACUAAUUCAAAAGCAGGGUUAAUCUAUGAAAUUAAAUACUGCUUCAAUUACUAAUUAUAUUUGAGAGCAAGUUUCAGUAGAUUUAAUAUAACUGAGUAUAACAGAGACCUUUUAAAGUUUUUUUAACUACACUUUUCAGCAAUUAAAAUUAAUUCUCUAAUCAGCGAUUGUUCCAAAUCAAUAAUUCUUGAUAUUCUAUUAUAAUUGUUCAUACAUUCAUUGACAUCAAAAUUGUAAGAAAACAUCUCAACUUACGUUAUUGUCUUAAAUCUACUGAAAUGUGUUCCAUAAAGCGAAUCUAGACUUCUAGCUUAGAUAUUCUAGUGAUCCUAGUGCAUAAUUAAAGUAAUUGUAUUUUGCCAAUCUUCACUGUCAGUAAAAUGACAAUCUGCCAUUUUUUACGUACCCAUAGAUUUUAAUAAGUGUAUUAAAUGUAUGUGUAAUUCA